GACGAACGCUGGCGGCGUGCCUAAUACAUGCAAGUAGGACGCAGUUGCGAACGGGUGAGUAACGCGUAGGUAACUACCUAUUAGAGGGGGAUAACUAUUGGAAACGAUAGCUAAUACCGCAUACUAGUAGAUGGACCUGCGUUGUAUUGGCUAGUAGGUAGGGUAAUGGCCUACCUAGGCAACGAUACAUAACCGACCCGGAGAGGUGAGUGGCACACAGGGGACUGAGACCCGGCCCAGACGCCUACGGGGAGCAGCAGUAGGGAAUCUUCGGCAAUGGGGGGAACCCUGACCGCGCAACGCCGCGGGAGUGAAGAAGGUUUUCGGGUCGUAAAGCUCUGUUGUUAAGGAAGCGGUACUUAACCAGAAAGGGACGGCUAACUACGUGCCAGCAGCCGCGGUAAUAC
rnacentral:rRNA from 1 species